AGUGAACGCUGGCGGCAGGCCUAAUACAUGCAAGUCGAACGACAGCACAGCAGAGCUUGCUCUGUGGGUGGCGAGUGGCGGACGGGUGAGGAAUACGUGGGAAUCUGCCCAGUCGUGGGGGAUAACGUAGGGAAACUUACGCUAAUACCGCAUGCGCCCUUCGGGGGAAAGCCGGGGACCUUCGGGCCUGGCGCGAUUGGAUGAGCCCACGUCGGAUUAGCUAGUUGGCGGGGUAAGGGCCCACCAAGGCGACGUUCCGUAGCUGGUCUGAGAGGAUGAUCAGCCACACUGGAACUGAGACACGGUCCAGACGCCUACGGGAGGCAGCAGUAGGGAAUAUUGGACAAUGGGCGCAAGCCUGAUCCAGCCAUGCCGCGUGAGUGAAGAAGGCCCUCGGGUUGUAAAGCUCUUUUGUCCGGAAAGAAAAGCGCUGGGUUAAUACCCUGGUGUCCUGACGGUACCGGAAGAAUAAGCACCGGCUAACUUCGUGCCAGCCGCCGCCGUAAAAC
rnacentral:rRNA from 1 species